rnacentral:hammerhead_ribozyme from 1 species
GCACUGUUGACGAGUCCAAAACAGAACGAAACAGCUGUCCAGUGC